rnacentral:rRNA from 1 species
AUGAACGCUGGCGGCGUGCCUAAUACAUGCAAGUCGAGCGAACAGAUAAGGAGCUUGCUCCUUUGACGUUAGCGGCGGACGGGUGAGUAACACGUGGGUAACCUACCUAUAAGACUGGGAUAACUUCGGGAAACCGGAGCUAAUACCGGAUAAUAUUUCGAACCGCAUGGUUCGAUAGUGAAAGAUGGUUUUGCUAUCACUUAUAGAUGGACCCGCGCCGUAUUAGCUAGUUGAUAAGGUAACGGCUUACCAAGGCGACGAUACGUAGCCGACCUGAGAGGGUGAUCGGCCACACUGGAACUGAGACACGGUCCAGACUCCUACGGGAGGCAGCAGUAGGGAAUCUUCCGCAAUGGGCGAAAGCCUGACGGAGCAACGCCGCGUGAGUGAUGAAGGUCUUCGGAUCGUAAAACUCUGUUAUUAGGGAAGAACAUACGUGUAAGUAACUGUGCACGUCUUGACGGUACCUAAUCAGAAAGCCACGGCUAACUACGUG